rnacentral:rRNA from 1 species
GAUGAACGCUGGCGGCGUGCUUAAUACAUGCAAGUCGAGCGAAGCGCUUUAACGGAAUUCUCCGGAAGGAAGAUAAAGUGACUGAGCGGCGGACGGGUGAGUAACGCGUGGGUAACCUGCCUCAUACAGGGGGAUAACAGUUAGAAAUGGCUGCUAAUACCGCAUAAGCGCACAGGACCGCAUGGUCUGGUGCGAAAAACUCCGGUGGUAUGGGAUGGACCCGCGUUGGAUUAGGUAGUUGGUGGGGUAACGGCCUACCAAGCCGACGAUCCAUAGCCGGCCUGAGAGGGUGGACGGCCACAUUGGGACUGAGACACGGCCCAGACUCCUACGGGAGGCAGCAGUAGGGAAUAUUGCACAAUGGGGGAAACCCUGAUGCAGCGACGCCGCGUGAAGGAAGAAGUAUCUCGGUAUGUAAACUUCUAUCAGCAGGGAAGACAAUGACGG